rnacentral:rRNA from 1 species
AACGAACGCUGGCGGCAUGCCUACACAUGCAAGUCGAACGAGAUCUUCGGGUCUAGUGGCGCACGGGUGCGUAACGCGUGGGAAUCUGCCCUUUGGUUCGGAAUAACAGUUGGAAAUGACUGCUAAUACCGGAUGAUGACGAAAGUUCAAAGAUUUAUCGCCAGAGGAUGAGCCCGCGUAGGAUUAGCUAGUUGGUGUGGUAAAGGCGCACCAAGGCGACGAUCCUUAGCUGGACUGAGAGGAUGAUCAGCCACAAUGGGACUGAGACACGGCCCAGACACCUACGGGAGGCAGCAGUGGGGAAUAUUGGACAAUGGGCGAAAGCCUGAUCCAGCAAUGCCGCGUGAGUGAUGAAGGCCUUAGGGUUGUAAAGCUCUUUUACCCGGGAUGAUAAUGACAGUACCGGGAGAAUAAGCUCCGGCUAACUCCGUGCCAGCCGCCGCGGUAACAC